CAUUUGCGGCCUGCGGUGCAUUUCUUGCAGUCCUGAUGCAUGGAGAAAUGCUCAACUCCUGAUGCAUGGAGAAAAGGCCUUCACAAGCCUCUGCCAUUGUGUACAUAGUUUAUGCUAAGUGACCCAUAGGUUGAGGAGGUGGUGACCGUGGCGGUGUAGGUGGACGGGUAACGGGGAAUCAGGGUUCGAUUCCGGAGAGGGAGCCUGAGAAACGGCUGCCACAUGCAAAGAAGGCAGCAGGCGCGCAAAUGACCCACUCCCGACGCGGGAAGGUAGUGACAACAAAUAACAAUAACAAAAUCUAAUCUUUAGAGGCCCUGUAAUUGUAAUGAGUCCACUUGAAAUCCUUUAACUCUGAUCAAUUGGAGGGCAAGUCUGGUGCAGAGCAACUGACCUGUGCGUGCUGCAGCUGAAACUCCAGCAGCAAGG